rnacentral:tRNA from 1 species
UGGCUCAGUUGGUAGCGCAUGGUGUUUGCAAUGCCAGGGUUGUGGGUUCGAUUCCCAU